rnacentral:rRNA from 1 species
UACGUAGGGGGCAAGCGUUGUUCGGAAUUACUGGGCGUAAAGGGCGCGUAGGCGGCCUGUUAAGUCGAACGUGAAAUCCCCGGGCUCAACCCGGGAACUGCGUCCGAUACUGGCAGGCUUGAAUUCGGGAGAGGGAUGCGGAAUUCCAGGUGUAGCGGUGAAAUGCGUAGAUAUCUGGAGGAACACCGGUGGCGAAGGCGGCAUCCUGGACCGAGAUUGACGCUGAGGCGCGAAAGCCAGGGGAGCAAACGGG